GACGAAGGAUGCAAGCGUUAUCCGGAUUCAUUGGGCUUAAAGGGCGCGUAGGUGGUCUUAUAAGUCAGUGGUGAAAUCUCGCAGCUUAACUGCGAAACUGCCAUUGAUACUGUAGGACUUGAGUAUAGUUGCUGUGGGCGGAAUAUGACAUGUAGUGGUGAAAUACUUAGAGAUGUCAUAGAACACCGAUUGCGAAGGCAGCUCACAAAACUAUAACUGACACUGAGGCUCGAAAGUGUGGGGAUCAAACAGG
rnacentral:rRNA from 1 species